rnacentral:rRNA from 1 species
GAGUUUGAUCGUGGCUCAGAACGAACGCUGGCGGCAGGCUUAAUACAUGCAAGUCGAGCGCGUAGCAAUACGAGCGGCAGACGGGUGAGUAACGCGUGGGAAUCUACCCAGCUCUACGGAAUAACCCAGGGAAACUUGGGCUAAUACCGUAUACGUCCGAUAGGAGAAAGAUUUAUCGGAGUUGGAUGAGCCCGCGUUGGAUUAGCUAGUUGGUGGGGUAAUGGCCUACCAAGGCGACGAUCCAGAGCUGGUCUGAGAGGAUGAUCAGCCACACUGGGACUGAGACACGGCCCAGACUCCUACGGGAGGCAGCAGUAGGGAAUAUUGGACAAUGGGCGAAAGCCUGAUCCAGCCAUGCCGCGUGAGUGAUGAAGGCCCUAGGGUUGUAAAGCUCUUUCACCGGUGAAGAUAAUGACGGUAACCGGAGAAGAAGCCCCGGCUAACUUCGUGCCAGCAGCCGCCGCCGUAAC